GAUGAAUGCUGGCGGCGUGCCUAAUACAUGCAAGUCGAGCGGUAAGGCCCUUCGGGGUACACGAGCGGCGGACGGCUGAGUAACGCGUGGGAACAUGCCCCAAAGUGAGGGAUAACGCACCGAAAGGUGUGCUAAUACCGCAUAUGGUCUUCGGAUUAAAGGAUUUAUCCGCUUUGGGAGUGGCCCGCGUACGAUUAGAUUGUUGGUGAGGUAACGGCUCACCAAGUCGACGAUCGUUAACUGGUCUGAGAGGAUGAUCAGUCAGACUGGAACUGAGACACGGUCCAGACUCCUACGGGAGGCAACAGUAAGGAAUCUUCCACAAUGGGCGAAAGCCUGAUGGAGCAACGCCGCGUGCAGGAUGAAGGCCCUCGGGUCGUAAACUGCUUUAUGAGUGAAGAAUAUGACGGUAACUCAUGAAUAAGCACCGGCUAACUACGUGCCAGCAGCCGCGGUAAU
rnacentral:rRNA from 1 species